UACAGAGGGUGCAAGCGUUGUUCGGAAUCACUGGGCUUAAAGGGCGCGUAGGCGGGCCUUCAAGUCCGGGGUGAAAUCCUCCAGCCUAACUGGAGAAGAGCCUCGGAGACUGAGGGCCUCGAGGGAGGUAGGGGCAAGCGGAACUAUGGGUGGAGCGGUGAAAUGCAUUGAUAUCCAUAGGAACUCCGGUGGCGAAGGCGGCUUGCUGGACCUCUUCUGACGCUGAGGCGCGAAAGCCAGGGGAGCAAACGGG
rnacentral:rRNA from 1 species